CACCACUCUCCACCACCUAAGAAGCCAUACAAGUACUCUUCCCCUCCACCUCCAGUCCCUACCCACCCUCUCCCACACCCACAUCCUCACCCACUACCCCACCCACACCCCCUACCACACCCACACCCUCUACCUCAUCCUCACCCAGUGUACCACUCUCCACCACCACCUAAGAAGUCUUACAAGUAUGCUUCACCACCACCUCCAGUUCAUCCUUACCCUCACCCACAUCCUAUCCCACACCCUGUUCCCCACCCUUAUCCUCACCCAGUGUACCACUCCCCACCACCACCAGUCCACCCAGCUCCCUACAUUCCUCACCCAGUGUACCACCACCACUCUCCUCCACCAACUCCACAGAAGAAGCCUGGUUACAAGUACCCAUCUCCUCCACCUCCUUCCCAUUCCUACAUCUAUGCUUCACCUCCCCCUCCUUACCACCAUUAGAUAGCAUAGCUAGUACUACUCUCUAUGGUAAACCUCCUUCAUAAAAUCUACAUUGUAAUACGUAUGUUUUAAUUGCAACAUGCUUGAUUCAAACUAUAAGGUUUACCACCCUAAUAAAGAUCAUGUUAAUGUUGCAUUUAAGUUUCAUGCUAUAUCAUUUGUGUACUUUAUAUAUUGUUUGAAACCGAGUUAUGUUAUGACAUGGUCUAAAGUCUAAACUGAUUACUAAUAUUUGCAUGUGUUUAUUAUCAUUAUCAGUGUACGUAUGAUAUGAAGAUGUUGUACGAAUGAAGAAAGCGAUGGAAAGAAGAAGCGCUUCACAGUUACACAAAAUAAAGAAGAGAUUAAGAAUAAAUGUUGGUGUUAAUUGUGUAUUAAUAUGAUUUGGUUUCAAUCAUUUUAAAUGCUUUUGGGUUUUGUGGUAUGUUGUAUUUUGAUAGCUGUAAAGCAACGUUGUGCUAAGGUGUCGAAGUAGUUAGUAAUGCUAGCUUCUGUUGUGUCAGUCUAAAAUAGUACGUGUACGUGCACGCGUUGUAGUUUUCAAGCUACUGUGUUUUGCAGGGCUUGUAAGACCAUCAAUUGCUAUAUAUUAAUAAAAUAAAUAUUUUCUCUUUCAAACUGUCGGAAUUUUGUCUAUAUUAUGGACACUAUGAACAACAAAUGGAGAUACAAAUGAUUGUUUUUACACAUAAAUGUAAUUAUAUGAUAAACAUAGGAUAUAAAUGUUAUUACACAUUACUUUUUGUGUGUUAUUAUAUGAUACUUAGUUCUCAGAUAGAUCCUUACUAGGUCACGAGAGUGGAACUGAGAGCGCUAGAAUCGAAACUUUUUCUGGUGAUUGAAAUAUUUGUCACUGCUACGACGUGGCAUAGGAUACCAAUCUAAUUAAUUUGUCACAAUUUAUAUAAAUAAAAAUGUCAUUUAUAGUUUUUCAAUAAAAAAUUAACGCGUGCACAUAAUUACAAGCAUGCUAUACUUAAAAACAUAAUUAACAUCCAUAUAUAUUCAACACCUUAUUAUAUAUUAGAUGAAAUCUUGUAGGUAGAGUUGAUAUUUUGAGUAAUUUUGCACGUCCCAUUCAUCAUUACAUAAAUUAUCUUGUUUCGGAAAAUAAUGUCCUUAUAGCUGGACUCAUGCGAAAGACAAUCACACUUGCAAAUCUUCUUUGAGUUUGACAUUUGAUUUUCGGUGCAUUUGCUUUAACUUUUAAAAAUAAGGCAUAUUUUAUACUUUUCAAUUUUAGGCCUUUAUAAUUUUUUUUGUCUAAUACGAAAAAGGAAAUACGUUUAGUGUCCAAAUUUUUGUGUCUAAAUAAACUGUUUGUCCUCAACAUCACCACGCCACACCUUAAUUUUAUGGAUAAAUCUUGAAGAACUAAAAUUUAGUAACCAUCUGAGUAUUAAACAUUUAAUUAAGAAUAAAUUACACUAACACUUCGAGUUUUAGUGAAAUUAUACAAGUUACCUUUUUUUUUUUUAUAUUUACACAAACUUAUAAUAAAUAGGAAUCUCUUGAUCCGUGUAUGGUUCUUGAGGAGGAAGAGAGAAAGUAGAUGAAAUCGUUGUGAUGUGAAAACUAGAUCAGAUCCAACUUAGUAUCAGGGUUAGUUUUUGUUUUUUUCUUAUGUAAUUCAGUCAAGGCAAUUGAUAAAUAAUAAAACAUGUGACUUCCAGCUCAAUAAUUUACGGAAAGAUAAAAAAUAACUGAUCAAAGGAAAUGUUAGCUUUAUUAACUGAUUGGACAGAUUCAAUUAAUCUCAAUCAGUUUUUUUCUUCCAUUCUCACUCAUCACUUUAGCUAAUAAUAAUAGUCAGUAAUUAUAUUUCUCAACUUUUUUCUUCCACACUUCAUCUUUUUUAUUUCUUCCUUUAUAUCAUAUCAUCAAAUCACUGCAAUAAUACUAGGCAAUGACAUAUUUUGCAAUAAGAUAUGAAACUCACUAGUACAUUUUUUUAAUACUAGAUAAAUACUAUAUAAAGAUUGAUGUAAAAGGCAUUUUUUUUCUUCAUGUGAUGUGUGUUAUUUGUCGUAACCAAUGUCUUAACAUUAUUCUUGUAACAAUAAUGCAAUUUUAUAUUAAUAGUAGUAAUCUUUUACAACUUGGGAGAAAAGCAAAUUACAGUAGCUAUAUAGGGGAGGAGAAUAUCAACUUUGUAUUGAAAGAAAAAUAAUGUUUGGAAAAUAGGAACAAAGUAUAGUGGGAGAUGGGGCCUUCUUAAUCUAAGAGCAACUUAGAGGAAAGAAUAUGAAAAGAAAAAGACAAUCCAUAAAAAGCUUAAAUUACGGGCAACUUUAAGCUUGGGAGUUUCUAACAUCAUUUCAUAUAAGUAGUUAUCAUUGACAUUGUCGAUGACAAAGUUUUUUAGGAGCUCCACCAAUUUGGUUUUUUUUGGAGCUCCACAAAAUUCUAUAUUUGAAUUUUAUGAAGUUAUUUAUUUGGAUUAUGUGUUUCUUUGCUAGUAUAACGAUUAUAUUUGGUUUCAAAAUAAUUAAAUAAGUUUGAAACUUCUAACAUAUCUAAAAACCCAUAUUUUCCUCAUAAAAACUAUACUUUCAAAAUUUCAUAACAUGUCAUAUCAAAAGGCUCAAAACUCUUAAAAAAAAUAGCAAACAUUUUCGAGAGUCUUAAUACUAGUUGUGAAAACUUUGAAAGAACUAAUUUUACCGAGGGUUAAUCACUAAAUGUUUAAUAAUUCGAUUUUUGUACGGGACAUUGUUCAGAAAGAUAAUCAUACACCUUGAAUAAAAUUAAUUUUUUAUAUAAGAUAUUUUUAGUAAUAUAAAAAAAUUAAGUUACUUUGAUUUUAGUACUUAUACUUCACUAAUUUUUUCUAAAAACUAACGAUACUGAUCAACUACAAAGUGUUUAGAAAAUACAAGGAUUGACACACACAAAACUAAGAACUAAAAAUGAAAAUUUAGUACAUUUUGUAAAGACGAAAAAACACAUUUUUUAAGACUGAAAUAAAAAAUGAAAACAAAGUUAAUGAAAUGAACACAAGCUGGCAAAUGAAAUGAAAAUUCGAUUUGUUGAAAUGAAAAUUAAAAUGAAGAAUGUGCAUGUGGACAGGUUUUACACAAGUAUUCAUGACAUGAAUCAAUCACCUUAUUCAUUUUUUCUAGUUUAAUCAUUGCAAUAGGCUCCAUCUAGUACAAUGAAUAUGGACAUGUUUUUUUUUUGAGUCAUUAUCAAACUUUGUCGACAACACAUGGAAAAAUACUGUUUUUUUUACAUAAAAAAUAUAGAUCAUUUUUUUUUGUUUAUUUUGGUUAUAUGUUUUUUUAUAAAUUAAGCUUCUUAUAGUUACAAACUUUGUUUACAAACAAAAAUAUAAACAGAGAAAAAAAGUCACCACUUAAAAUAUUAAGUUUUCAAAUGAACUUUUUCUCAUUUUAAUAUUUUUAGUUAGUAUUUGUGGUAAGAAAACUGUUAUAACAUUUUUAAGUUUUAUCCUACAUGAUUGAGGAAAAUUGUUCAGUCAUUUGAACUACAAAAGAGCAAGUUAAUUCCCUUAUUAGUAUAGGAUAUUUGAACCAAAACCUUAUAUUAUAACAAUAAGAUAUUUAUGAUUUCUUAUUAAAAAAAUGAGGCAGAGCUUUAUGAGAUAACAGGCUGACAUAAAUACAAGAUUUGUAUAGGAUACUAAUGGGCUUUUGAAACUGGCCCAGAUUUGGAUAUUAAUGGGCUUUUGAAAUGCAUAGAAUUUUAAAUUACAUUUCAUUCCAACAGUUUAAACUUACAUACUCAAGUUAAGAUUCAAGAUAAUAAUCUCAUAUAUCAAUUGUUAUUUUAGGAUCAAAUACAUUAUUUUUUAAGUAUCAUUGCAUCUAAUGUGAAACCCAAUUGGUUUGCUUUCAAGUUAUGUGGACACUAUUUCUUCAAUGAACAUGCAUACUCUAUAUGUAUACAUGUAACAAAGUUUCAAAAUUCUCAAAUUUAUAAUCAAUAUUUGAGGACUGUGAUAAGUAAAGAUAUUUGUUAUGAGUAGACAAAUAUAAUUUUUUUCAUUAAUGAAUAUACAUGUUUCUUUACUCUUGGACAAACUAGCUAAUAUAUAGGGGACGAAACUUUUGAAAAAUAGGCAUGCAAAAUAAGGAACAUGAAAUGAUAGUUUUAUAUGAGCGAACGAAUUUUAUUACUUAAGUUACAUUUAGUACAUACUUGACAAACAUGGAGAACAAUCUUCAACGUGGAUCUUGCUAAAUGAGUUUAAUAUGUCCUUUAGAAUCAACCUUGAAACUAGCUAUUCAUAUAAUUGUUAUGCUUGUUAUCUAUCUAUCUAUUUAUAUAUAUGAUUAUAUUAUUCGAACAAAUUGUCAAGAACAUUCUGUAUACUUUAUAUACUUUGAUAAAAAUACAUUUUUUUAUGAAAAAAGUAAAUGUAUUAAACAUAAAAAACAAAAUAAAAUUCACUUCAAGUCACAAAGAACUGUUAGGAAGGCAAGAGUGCUUCAAAUAAUGUCCUAAAAAGACUCCAUUGGAAAUAUAAACAACAAUUAGGAAGUCACCUCCUAAGGGUGCUUAGCAUCCGAAUCAUCUCCAUUAAUGGAGAGACAAGUACUUGUUUUUCCAAGUAUUUUUAAUGGCAAAUAUGAUAAUUUAUUAUAUAUAAAAGAAUAAAAAUGUCUACCAUGUUGUUUUUCCCUUUGUUUUUGUAGUACUUGUCUCUCAAUUAAUAGAGAAUCCUUACUUUCAUAUUGGAUAUGAGUUUGUGGCACUCUCACUAAACCCCAUGCAAAACUACUACAUGAUAUCUACUUAUGGACUAGGAAGUGGAAUGAUAUUAUUUCCCCAACCGAUAUUUAUACUAAACAUCUAAAAUAUUUUCAUCAAAUGUAACCAUUGGUGCAGAUAAAGGUUACUAGAAAAUGACCGAAAUAAGUUUCACUCACACCAACAAAUAUUCUAAAAGAUAAUUAGAAAUAUAGCGAAAGGUAGCUUUUACUGCUACAUCUUAAUGUUAAACUGGUUCCACGCUACAAUUAUAAAACAUAUUAUAUAAAGUUCAUAACAACAGCUUAAAAUUUAAGCCUAAAACUACGAAACACAAAUAACAACAAAUGACAAUUGUUGAACAAUGUUCUUCACAAGCCUCACCUUAAUAUAAAUACGCGUUUAAAGAAGAUGUUACUUGUGAUAAUCAUCCCCAACAAUUGAUCAUUUUGAUAAUAUGAAAACUAAUUGAGUUGAUUGAAGUAAUAGAAGCUUGGACCACAUUGCUCAUUGAAAGCUUGACCAAAGGAAUUAGAAGGAGGAAGAGGAGGCAUUGAAAUUUGUUGUUGCAGAUGAGUCCCUUGAUGUUGAUAUGAAGGAUUAGGGCAUUGGCGAAGCAAGGCUAACAUGGAAGAAAAUUUAGAUACCAACUCAGUAGAAGAAGGAUCAUUAACCAUAUCAACAGCAUACUCAUUAUUUUUCAUCAUAUAAUACUCCAGUUCCUUCCUCAUUGCUUCUCUGAGGGCUACAAGAACAAAAGUGGGUCAACUUUAUAUUCACAUACUAAAUUUAGAAAGCAACAAAACCAUAAUAUGUAAGUAAAUUUCAAGUCACAAGUACAGUUUUCACAUUAUGUUGAAGGUACUUGCAAUCAAUAUGCUUGAUCCCCCAUUUUUUUCUGGAUGGUUUUAGUAAGUGAUAGUUUGAUAAUAACAUAGACAUUUUUAAGUAUAAUAAUGACAGUAUUUAUUUAUUGAGGUAAAUGUCAUGUAUGUGAGAGUGAAAGCACAAAUACCCAUUAUUUUAAACAUUAAAAAAAAGCAUAGAACCAUGCAUGCAUACCACAUUUUUGUUGUAGUUGUUGUCCCAAAGCCUCAAUUUGCAUUUUGAACUGGUUAUUCAGAGCAAUCCUGGUUGCAAUGUUUCUCUGCAUUAUAUAAAAGUUGUUGCAGAUUUAAUAAAAGGUCAUUAAAAUUAAUGGGUUGAUACUACAGUAAAACAAAUCUGCACCAUCAUUGUUAGUGUAGUGAGACUCUAACAAAUUAAUCAAAACUUGGUCCUUAUUAAAGUUACCGCAUUUAUGUUAAUGUAAAACAUAUUGCAAAAGAAAAUCACAUACUUUGCAUAUGGCAAGUUGUUCAUCGACCAUAUCUGAGAGAGCUUGAAGCUUUUUCACCCUCCCCUCCAACUCUUUUGCAUAAGUUUUUUUCCUCUCCUUUGAUUUAGUGGCAGAUAUCCUAUUAGCAAGAAUCCUACAACACAUAACAACUCAACUAUUCUUAGUGCAACAAUCUUGUACCCUGAAAUAAACAAAUUUAAUUAAAAAUUAUAAUAAAAAAAUCAUGAUGAAGCAUCAUGAGCACAUUUAACUUUGUUGCUGAAAUUACUUAUGCAGGAAAAUACUCAACAAUUCAAAGUAAAGGUUAUGUUAUCUCAAAAUUUAACAUAUAUAACAAAGAUAAAAAAGCAAUGAUUAUAAGAAAAUGCUGAACCUUUUUGCUUUCUUAGGGUCAACUUUUGCUAGUUCAAGUAGCUCCUCAGGAGACACAACCCUUUUUACAACGAAAGAAGAUGCACCCAUUUGAGGAGAAUAGCUUUUCCAAUUGCAUUGAUCCUCCUUACUCUCUCCCUUCCCACCACAACUACUCUUCAAAUCAGAGUCCACAGAUAAUUUCUUACUCAAUUCCUCCACAGUCAAUGAAUCCUUACUAGCCAUUACAACAACAUCGUGAAAUCCAAAGGCUGCCACGGGUGGCGGUGAUAGUGGCAGUGAAGGGAGGUUGAAUUCCUGAAGGUCAUUGUUGUUGUUAAGGGUAACAUGUGAGAGGACCCUUUCAUCGUUAGACCCAUCUUGCUGCAUACUUGGUGCUACACCUUCCUUCUUGUUUGCUUCCAUUACAAAGAAAUUUCUGCAGGUUUUGGUGAAUUUGAUACUCAAAAGUUGAGUUACCAGUAUUUAUAUUGUUUACUUGUAUUUUACCUGGCCAGUGAGUGAGGAGAAGUUGCAUAUAACUCACAUUUGCUAAUGAAGAUAUGCCCUACUUUUGGUGUAUGUCUCGGAUCAAUCAAAAUGUAUUAUUUAAUAUAAAGUAAUAUUUGAUAGAGAAUAAUGUAUCUCCUCGUAUAAUGAGAUAACUUAUAUCCUCUAGCCAGUAAAAAUCUGACAUGUGUGCUAUUUUGUUUAUUUUUAAAAAUAUUUUUAUAGAAAAUGAUAAAACAUGACACAUGUCAUAAUUUUAUUGGCAGAAGGAGAUGAUUUAUCUCCUUAUAUAAGGAGAUAUUCCAUUUCCCUAUUUUAUAUUAUUUAGUAUAAUUAUAUUGUAUGAAAAUAUGAAGAAAGGGCCUCUCUGGAAUUAAAGAUCUUGUUCUAUAUUUACACCUCAUUUUCUUGUAAUGAACACCGCACGUGUGUUUAACUCUCUAAUGGAGAGAUAUCUCAUUCGGACUACAGUACUUAGAUCCUUUCUAAUAAUUAAGAGACAAUGAUAUGAAAAAUAAUAUUAAAAAAUAGAAGAAUAUAAUACUUUUAUCAUUUUAAAUAUAUUGAUGUAAUAAUUUUACUCUUAAAUACAAGUGUAAAGACAAUAACUUAUCUUUAUAAUAAUAAAGAAGAUCCUAAUUUCACAUAGAGAUAUAUCUUUAUCGAAACAACAAAUAAAAUAUUAACAAAACAUUAAAAUUUUAUUUUAAUAAGAAUUUAGUCCACAAAUAUAAUAUGUUCCAUAAGUGAAAUGUUUUUCCUGUGAGGAAGAGUGUAAUGAUUUUUUCAACUGACACAUUUUUUAUACACAGGAUGUGUGCUCACAUUCUGCAGCAGUUACAUAUGAAAGUGUUGGAAAUGGUGUAUAUUUAAUGCAAUAAUUAAAUAAGUCAGUUUCUUUUUAUUUCGACUUAAUCUAAUCAUUAAUUAGGUCUUCUUUUUUCUUCCUUCAAUGCGGAGGGAGUGAUCACUGUUUAAAAAAUGUACAAUUAUUAUGAGAGCUAAAUUUCUCAUAACAAGUAUUUAACGGAUUAGUAUCAUUACAAAUUUGAACUCAGGAACUUAUAAGCUAAAAAACGCUCCAUCAAAAUGAUUUAGGCAGUUGUUGAUAGAAGUAAUUAUUAUUGACAAUCAUUAGUAACUUAUUUAAUCUUAAACGAAAAAUGUGUUAAUCUCUUGUAAAAAUAGCAUACAAAUUUUUCUAUUUAACCUAUUAAUAUCAUUAGAGAUUUGAACUCGGGAACUCAUAAGCUUAAAAAGGCUCCACCAAAAUGAUUCACGCAUUACUAAUUUACUAUUGACAAUGAUUAUUAACUUAUUUAAUCGUAAAUGAAAAAUGUGUCAAUUGUAAAAAUAACAUACAAAUUUUCCAAUUUACAUAUAAAAGUGAUAUGUGUUAUAUGGUGGUAUUUACUAAUUGAUUAUUGAUUUACCAAUACCAAAUAUCAUUUUGUGAUGAAGAGAAGAAUAAUUGGUAAGGUAAUAUAAUAUUACUUUUAAUAAAAUAAAGAAAAUUGAGACUACUAAAAACAAUUCUACCUGACUUUUUAUCUUAGAAUUAUUUGUGUUUCCAAAUUUGAGAUCUUCAUCCAUAUUUAAAAUUAAUAUUUUUUUGGAUAUGGUGAAACUAACCGUUAUCCACUUUUUAUUUCUAUUUAAUGUAUAAAUUAAAUAAUUUUUAUUAAUUAUGCAUUAUUACCGAUUGUUUCUUUUUUGUUGCAUACCUCUUAACUUUUUAAUUUUCACCUGAUUCCAAAUCUGUUGAAUGUUUAAAUUUUUUAUUUUUUAACUUAAUAUAUAUUUUAUUUUCAAAUAUACUUUAAUUUAUCACUUCUUCCUUUUUCCUUUAUUUAUUUUUAAUAUACAUUAAAUAUACUGUUAUUUUAGUCAAAUUAUAUUCAACUUUUACCUAACUUUUUCUGACUUCUUAAAUUGUGUAUAUAAUACAUCAUUUUUUUUAAUGAAUGGAAUAAUAAAUAGCCUUAAAUGAGAAAGAGAGGAAAAAAAAGAUGAGUCAUAAAGUAUUUGACAACAGAACAAUUUAACCAUGUUUGAUUAGGGAGUAUUUUUUUAUAUAUAAAAAGCUUAACUAAGUUUUUGAUAGAAUGUAUAUCCAAUGUUUGUUAUGAGAUUUAUUAGAAAAUGAAUAAGAUAGGAUAUUAUAGUUUAUUAUCUAAAUUUAAUUAACUAUUAAUAUUACAUGAAUAUUUCUAAAAUAUUCUUAUUGUAAGAUAAUAACACUUGUGUGAUCAUCAUCAUUAUAGGAUUUGUUUAUUAUUAUUUUUAAAUGUUUUGUUAAAUCAAUAAAUGAAAUAAUAUCUAUAGUGUAAUCGGUAGAGUGCAAACACUAUAUAACAGGAAACUGAAUCAGCUAUCCAAAAUUGUGAGCCACUCUAUCGAUUAUCCCUGAAAUCUCAUUCCUAUGUAGUUUAAGUGACAUUUGAACACCAAAUUAUAAAGUACUAUCGUUAUUGGCUUAUGAUGUUUGAAAGUAGCAUUAGCACAGUGCAAGAGGAUGAGUGAGAGAAAUGUUCUGCAAGAGGAUGAGUGAGAGAAAUGUUCUGCAAGAGGGUGUCAUUAUUCAGAACUUACAACAAUUUAAAUAACAGAUUUCAUGUUUAUUAAUAACCCCCGAUAGCUAUGACUCAUCCUAAUUGAUAUCACAAUGCUCUUCUUUGUACCUUGUGAAUGACAUAACAAAAUGGAACAGAAUGUUAAAAAAUACAUUAUUAAUCCACAUUAUAUAACCACUAUGCACAUAUUGGAGAAAAUUUUGAGAUUUGACCUCCCACUCAUAUGCCUCAAAUCUUUCUCAAAAACUUCACCUUUCCUUCUUCUGUAGGCAUUGAAGAACCAAUGGCUCCAAAUAAGUUUGUCAUACUAUGCUAGGAGGAUCCCCUGACCAGGUGCACACAGCACGAGCCCAGCGCGUCUUUAUACAGUCCACCAAAGGUGCAUGCUGAGAAGGCUCGGGUUUAGAUACUUCCGUGUCCUUCCCAGAAGACCCACUUGCACUGGAAGCAGAAGCAACGUUCACAUCUGCCAUAAAUUCCUCAUGUGUCCACCUUGGGGGAACUGAAACUCUCAACUUCGUCAGACGUGGUUUUUGCAAUGGAGUUUCACCACCAUAGUUUACCUGAAUGCCGUUUAGAUCGGAUUUAGCAAUCCCAUUAAAAUGAUAGAGAUCAAAGGCCUUCUUACCCAUCAAUCCUGAUGAAUCUUUCAGACCUCCCAAGCUUUUGUCUAGAUCCAAAAUUACUUGCCAGAAUUCACUCCAUACAAUGAACUCGGUAUUGGAAAGCUGCUCAGCCUUCUCCUGUGGAAGUUUGAUAUUUGUCGCUCUUAGGACUUGAUGGAACCCAUCCCCACUAAUGAAACCACCACCUCCGCUCUGAUCUUGUGCAUCAAAAGCUUUGCGGAUCUGUGUUUCUCUUACUUCUAGUUCGUUCUCAUUUUGAACGCUGAGGUCAAGAGCAAACAGCACUGUGUAAUGGGAUUCACUCCCAACGACCCAUAUAGGCCACUUUGGGGUUUUGAGAAACUGACCAACCUUGCAGAAAUUCAGGGAUUCUAGCAGAGUGAGAAAUCCAACUUCCACGUUUCGGGAUAUACCUUUCAGAAACAUUCCUCCACCUAAAUCCAUCCUCCCAUCAAACACGUUAGGGACAGCCUCCCCGCAGAGCAACAAGUUUACAAUUUCCUGUAUCACAACAAUCAUACAAAAAGGCAAUUUUAUACAUUAUAGAAUAAUAGAACGAGGAGCAGUUUAAAGGAUAGCAACAUUUUUCAAUCAUCUAUAAGUGAAUACCUGUGAGGCAUGCCCAAAAGGAGCAGUAACCAGAGGUAAGCUGGGAUCAUCCCUGUCACUUUGAACCAAGUCCUAGAGGAAAGCAAAACAUUGCAAGCAUUAAAUUGAGAAAUUUUAAAGGUAUAAAAACAACCAAUGCAAAUUCAGUUACAUAUUUGAGUUUAUGACAUCUAUUUUUGCCAUUGUAGUCCCCAAUUUUUAAAGAACACAGAAAGUGAUAGAUGCAUUCUAAAAUUCAAAGAGAUGGAACAUAGUUUAAGCUCAGAAGGCAUAAUCACUAGUAACAUAGUAACAUGCUCCAUUGUUAUACACAUAGUGGAACAACAACAUGCAUACAGCAUCAACUCAAAAUUUAAAGAACAAGGCCCUUGCUUUAAAAGACAAUGAACUCUAAAGCUGAAAAAUGCAAUGUGAAAUAGAUAACAAGGUUGAAGUAGACAGACAUACCAGUCCCCGAGAAAGUAAAGCAGAGAUUAGGAAAAGCAAUGCCCCCACACGACUUUGGAACAAAGCAAUAUUUGCUUCAAGCCUCUGCAGAGCAGUUGUUUGUGAUGUGUAAGUUUCAACUCUGAGAACUUUCUGCAGAUCCAAGGCUGAAUCAAUGGAAAGACCUUCAAGUGAUCUCACAACGCCCUGUUAGAUGGACAAAACUUGACUCAGAAGAAAAGGAUAUAUCAAAGGAGAACAGCAGUAGGAGAAAAAUAGGAAGAAAGUAAUUUCAAAAUAUAGGUAUUGUUGCGACCCAUACAAAAUUGAGUAUUCACAGGUACGAUAAUCAUGAUACCUCAUCUUCAGAAAUUCCUUCAAAAUGCUGAAUGCCAUUCCCUGAGACGCUCAUAGUUGCAAUCACAACCCUUCUAUUACUUCCACAUGAAAAUAAAAUUUCACCCAUGCUUCUUACAAGGGCCCUGCCAAAGAGAACACACAAAAUAUUAACAAAAAUAUAUCAUGAGCAUGGUUUAUUUACAACCACCAACUGCCACAUAUGAAGCACGUAGAAAAACAUUGGGUAGCGUCUAAAGGUUAUGGACAUGAAAUAUAAAAAAAUGGACAUCAACUAAUAUGCAAAUGAAGUCCACAAAACCUAAAAUAUUUCUAUUCAAUAAAAAUGAGAUGAGAAAGUGGAGGCUAUUUUUUAUGAACCCAUAAGAAACCCAAUAUCUUAAUUCUUGCUGAAUCCCUCAUUAUUUUUUAGAAAAAAAUAGUUAAACAAAAGGAAGCCAUGAAUUCUCAACCACUGCAAUGAAAGGAUGAGAAACAGAAGGAAAACAAAACUCAGUUGUAUGAUUGUACCAAGCCGUACUUGUAUUCUUCAUUGAAGAUGGCUACAAACCAAAGAUUAAUCAGCAUUGGAUGCAUGCUGUUGGAAAAAUACACCAACCUUUAGCCAUUCUGAUUCAAUGCUUCAUACUUUAAAUAAAGGGACACUUAUUAUUCACAAAUUACGGGAAAAAAUAUUUCUAGGUUAGGAACAGUUUCAGCAACUAAUUAAGUCAACAUAAGGUUAACCUAUUAAGCACUAUUUAAACCUUUUAUUAACCACUUAUCAGGUUAAAUUUUCCUAACUUCAAAAUAUGUGUUCGAAGAAUAGUUGUCACUUAGAAGACAAAAUUGUGUCACUUGGAGAGAAAUCAUAAAAGCAAACUCAUAUAUGGUUAACCUAAAAGCAAAUACUAACACAUUAUUAAAGGAAGACAAAUAUGUGUCACUUGGAGACAAAGCAUACCUUAUUGAAUCAAAUCACUAGUCAUGUUCAUGAUACGCAAGAAGACAAUGUAUUGGAGGAAUAAAAGGAAAGGAUGAAUUACAAAGCAAAAGAACUGGGGUUCUAAUAUUUUAUUAUAACAUAUUUUACCUAUCUAAACACAAAGGACUGAUCAGGAAACAGUUAAUCACCUUAGUUUAACAUCUUCACUGAGUGAGGCAAAAUCAAAUGAUAGAAUAGGUUGACUUCUAGAUGAUGAGCCUAGACCUCGAUGUGGCAUGAUUGACAUCUCUUUCAAAUCAUCACUAAAGAAAAGAAUGUAUUUGAGCACAAAUGCCUGAAACGUUAUGGGAAACACAAUCAAAAUCAACAUAAAAUGAAGAGAGAAAAAAAAGAACAUGCUUUUGGAACUUAUGUUGUCCAUCAGUAGAAAAAAUGAAAUGGACAUACUUCACUACAUGCAGACACAUGAACAGCCAUGCUACAAAAUGUAUAUAGUAUUUUCUUCAUUGAAUCAACAAAAUCAACAUUAUUAUAGUGACAAAGUUGAAAACAGUGAAUGUGCAUAAUAAGACAUCAUUAAUUUCA
rnacentral:lncRNA from 1 species